rnacentral:lncRNA from 1 species
CACCUGCGGCAUAUGGAUAUUCCCAGGCUAGGGAUCAAAUCAGAGCUUCAGCUGCUGGCCUAUGCCAUAGCCACAGCCUUGUGGGAUCUGAGCCGCAUCUGUGACCCAUACCACAGCUCAGGGCAACCCUGGAUCCCUAACCCACGAAGCAAGGCCAGGGCUUGAACCCACAUCCUCAUGGAUCCUAGUUGGGUUUGUUAACCACUGAGCCAUGAAGGGAACUUCCUGCUUUUAUUUUAAAGUCAUGAAGGAGUAUUGAAUAUUAUUAAAUGCUUUUUCUGCAUCUGCUGAGAUACCCUGGAUUUUCUCUUUUAAAUAACCAUUAAUGUAGUAGCUAAUGACUACAGAAUUUAAUGGAAUGGGCCAAGACAGUGUACCCGGAAACCAUCACCUACAUCUGAUCCUUGUAUAAGCCCAAUUCAUCAAAAGUGUUUUCUAUUCAGACCUAGUUGUUCUGCCAUGGGGUUUGGGGUGGGAGUCUGUUAGAGCACUUAGUAUUUGGUACAAACAAACAUGGAAUUUAAGCCUAAAACCCUUUAACUUGAAGGUCAUUGAGAUUUCCAUUUUUAUAUACCAUGGAACCAAAUCUUGAAAACUAUUAAAAUUAUUGUCUUUUUCAGUAUCUUGAUCAUCGGAAUGUGACCAAUCAGGGAGUUCCCGUCAUGGCUCAGGAGAAACAAAUCUGACUAGCACCCAUGAGGACACAGGUUUGAGCCCUGGCCUUGCUCAGUGGGUUAAGAAUCCGGCAUUGUCGUGAGCUGUGGUGUAGGUCAAAGAUGCGGCUCGGAUCCCAUGUUGCUGUGGCUGUGGUGGAGGCUGGCAGCUGCAGCUAGCUACAAAUUUGACCCUUAGCCUGGGAAUUUCCAUAUGCCGUGGGUGUGGCCCUAAAAAGACAAAAAAAAAAAAAAAGAAUGUGACCACUCAGAGAAUCCACAGGCAGAAAGGACCUGUGAUGCACUGAACUGUGCCCCCCCACCCCAUUUCACAUGUUGAAGUCCUAACCACCAGUAUACCUUAGAACGUGACUGUAUUUAAGAAAUAGGGCCUUGGGAUGGUUAAUUUAAAGUUAACUUGACUGGCCACAGGAUGCUCAGAUUAAACAUGAUUUCUGGGCGUGUCCGUGCAGUGUUUCUGCAAGAGAUGAACAUCUGAGGCAGUGGACUCAGGAAAGCAGACGGCCCUCCCAAAGGUGGGUGGGCCUCGUUCAACCCAUUGAGGGUCUGAGCAGAACAAGAGGCAGAGGAAAGCUGGAGCCAUCUACCCUUUCCUCCUGCCUCACUGAUUAGGCUGGAACAUCUCAUCUCACCUUCUCCAGCUCUUGGACUGGGAUUUACACUAUUGGCUUCCCUGGGACUCAGACUAAAUUACACCACCAGCUCUCCUGGGCAUCCGGCAGAUCCCAGAAUGUCACAGCCUCACUGGCAACUCCUCAUAAUACAUGUGCAUCUACAACUACAUGUGUGUGUGUGUUCUGUUUCCUUGGAGAACCCUGACUCACAAGGCCUUUGAAAGGCUGACUAAGGUUAAAUGAAGUUAAACAGGUGGUUCCUAAUCCUAUAAGACCAGUGUCCUUCAGGGAAGAACAAGAGACACCAGGGAGGUACCACAAAGGAAAGGCCGUGUGAGUACACAGUGAGACUGCCCUCUCCAAGCCCCGCAGAGGGGCCUCCGUGGAAACCAACCCAGUCAACACCCUAACCUUGGACUUCCAUCCUCCAGAACAGUGAGAAAAAAAAAAUUGCUACUGUUGAAGCCAUCCAGUCUAUGGUAUUUUGUUAUAACAGUCCUAGCAAACCAUUAGAGGAGCUUACUCAGGAUUCCUGGUUUUCCUUAUUCCUAAAAUGACCUGUUCUUCUUGUCUUCAUGGGGAAUUCAGCCAUCCUUCAGGGCCACUCAAAUGUCACCGCUUCCAUGAAACUUGCCCUAAUUUUCUGCAUUCCUAUAUUUGGACAUCUUUCCUUUAUAGAACUUUUCACAUGGUGUCAGGGCCUGUCACUAGCUUGUGAAUCCUUUAAGAAAAGCAACCAUAUGAAAUCCAUCUUUGAAUUCUCAGUGUCUAGUGUAAUGCCUGUUGGGUGGAUGGAUGGAUAUAUGAAUGCAGAGUGAAUGAAUAAAUAGAUGCGGUUUCUCCUUGAGCUGUCAUGCUCUCUGCUGCCUCCUGGUGGCUAUUUGGUUUUCAACACCGCAUCUAAGGCACCGUGUGGAGCUGAGUCAGCAACAUCCUGCAACGGCUUCUUUCAGAUGACUCCUUCUCCAGCUUACACAAAACGUCUUCCUCUCAUUUUGGUAUUUCCACUCUCCACUUUCUCAUUACAUCAUCAAAUAAACCUUGGACACCUGGACACCAGGAUUUUAGAUUUCACAGCUCUCUUCUCAGGAUGUCAAGGUCCUGACCAAUUAUUCUGUCCCUUUGUCUCCCCAGACCUCAGAUGUUACAGCAGACUGGCCUGCUGCCUCCUUCUCCCCUACAUGGAGGGCGCUAAACACCUGGGGAGGAAACACUCAAGGAUACAUCUUGGCACCACUACAAAGUCAUGAUAUUUAACUCCAUCCUCCAUCCUUCGUCUUCCUCAUUCUCCUCUGUGAGCUUCUUACUCCUUCUGUUUCUCAUUGCAACAAUUCCAAACCAUUAGCUCUUCUCACAUCACCUGUCCCAUCACAACCCUUCUUUUCCCUGAGUUACCUUGACUCUUCUUUUUGAGACAAAAAUCAAGGUGCGAAACAAGCUGCCUCCAUCAUGUCCUCCUGCUACACUCCCCGGCCCUGUUUCUCACUGCUCCUCCGCCUAAAAGACCCCCCAUCCUCUUUGCUCUCUGUACCCCCUCCCAUUCACCUAAAAUUACUUUUUCUUUUUCCAACUCAAGAGUAAACCUUCCAUGAAGACUUUAUCAGCACCACUCAAUGUCCCAGGUGGCCCCAUUCCUCUGAGUUCUCAUGUCCCUGUAUUUCUCCUGCAACCAUCACACCCCAUGUGAUCACGUUUACUUAUAUUUAUCCAAUUACGUGUCUGUUCUGUUUCAGGGGCAAAUGAAGCCCAGAGACUGAGAUCGUCUUUGCUAACAGUGUAUUGAGCACAGAUUCACAGUGGGAAUCUGACAAGUGAACAGCACACAGGGUAAUGUCUCUUAGUAAGCCCGUUAAGAAACAACAUACACCGGGAGUUGCCACGGCGGCUCAGCGGAAACGAACCAGACUAGUAUCCAGGAAGAUGCAGAUUCGAUCCCUGGCCUCACUCAGUGGGAUAAGGAUCCAGCAUUGACGCAGCUGCAGCUUAGGUCACAACUGUGGCUUGGAUCUGAUCCUGACCUGAGAAUUCCAUAUGCCAUGGGGCAGCCAAAAAAGCGAAAAGAAACAAAAAGAGAGAGAGAGAGAGAUUAAUGACACAAUUAUUCCAGGCAAGGGGAGAUGAAAGAAAGAAAGUCCAAGUGCAGCUCGAGCGGUGCCUUUAUACGGGCCAGGCUGGUAUAUGGGAGAACCACUGCGAGCUGACUUCCAGCUGCCAGCUCAGAACAAGAGCCCCCUGUCGCCAGAGCUAGGGAAUGAAGGUGGGGGUGUCAGGGGGCAGGCGAGGCAGGGACCUUCCCCCUUGGCUGGCACCACAGCCCAGACCAGCUCAUCUCUGCGGCAGGGACACACGGGCCCUGUCUCCUGAGACCGUGCCCUCUGCCACCACUGCCAGCCCUGAGCAGCCUGGCCACAGCAGGACAAGUGCCCUGAGAUCUUCAGAGAGCUCAACUGGCAGACAAUGACUUCUUCCUGGAUGGAAACUCCCAGACACUCCUCACAAACCCCUCGGUAUUUAGAAUCUAACUAUCCUCUAGCCAUGGAGGCUUCCAACAUAUUCUUAUCAAUGAGCCCCCAUGGGCCCCUCGGCAGCUAAGCUGCUAAGCGCUCCUCAAGACAACAGAUAAGACAAUGUCAGCGUGAUGUGGUCUGCUUCAGUUUCACCAGAGCAACGUUGCCUCUAAACACAAAUUUUUUUGGUCUUUGUCAUAAAGAAGUGGAUGAAAUCCACUUACGUCAAGUGGAUCUGAAAUCAUAUCAAACCAGGACACAACAAUGUCUCUCUCCUGUAACUAGACUGGGUCCCCUGAGGAGAAUUACAGUGUCUAUGCGUCCUGUUAUCCCCAGCACUCUGGCAAGAUGCCUAGAAUGUUUCAAGAAAUGAUCAGAAGGAAAGAAAGAAGGAUAUCGGAGGUGGUGAGUGAUGCGGCCUGGCAGCCAGUGCACCCCCUCACCACACCCACCACACACACACACCCACCACACACACACACACACACCCCACCACCGGGUGUGGAGACUAAGGCUCGCCCCAGGCCCCAGGCAGCAGCUCAUGCCAGUCAAAAUGACAAGUGCACUGGCGUGUUCAUCCGAGAGCCCCGCCUCCUCACAUCCACUUCAGAAUCCGGAAGGCACUGCUGGCUACCUCCUCACUCCAGACCAUCUGGGCAGGUGGCACCAAGCCCACUUCCAAGGUCAGGUUCUUACUGCCCUGAACAUUCCAGAUUAUGCUGCAGAGUAAACUUCCUCUCUGAACUGUCACAGCAAGUCUUCAGAAUCAUGCUUGGUGCCUUCAUCACCCACGUCUCAUCUCAGUUCUCAGCUACAUGGCGGGGAUGUUUCCCCAGAGCAUCCUGUGAUCUUCUAACCGUCCCUGAGCACAAGGGAUGGUCUGGGAGGACAAGGAUGGCAGCACCCACUUAUGCUCCUUUUCUGUGGGAAGCAGAGCCGCAGCAAGUGGCCAGCGUUCUAGGAUCCUAGGGACUUCCUGUCGUGGCUCAGUGGAAACGGAUCUGACUAGCAUCCAUGAGGACGCAGGUUUCAUCCCUGGCCUCGUUCAGUGGGUUAAGGAUCCGGUGUUGCGGUGAGCUGUGGUAUAGGUUGCAGAUGUGGCUCGGAUCUGGCAUCGCUGUGGCUGUGGUAUAGGCAGGCAGCUACAGCUCUGAUUCGAUGCCUAGCCUGGGAACCUCUCCAUAUGCCAUGGGUGCAACCCUAAAAAGACCAAAAAAAUUAAAAAUUAAAAAAUAAAGGAAAAAAAAGAAAUCUGUACCGACAGCAGAAAAGGAGAGAUGCCACAAUAUGUUUCCUGUUGGCAUGAUUUUGGGCUGGAGUUUGAAGAUUCCUGUAAAUACCUGGGGACUGAUGCUGUGGUGAUGAAAGGCCAUAACCAACAUAUGGAUCACUGACGAUGGGCAGCCACGAGCAGCUCUGUACAAAUGAUAUCCGUCCUGGGCCAAAAUAAAAAGGACAGCCAUGUGCACACAGAGCUCCUAGGGACCAAGAUGGAGAAGGAAGCUGGCUUCACAGGAAACUGGCACAAACGCUCUUAUACACACUCAGUGCUGCUGUCAGACACUUAAUUUUCCUAUAUGUAAUUCUAUGCAGACCACUGAAGGCAAAUUUACUAAAACCAAAAACAACCACACAUAAAACACAUUCCCAAGCAAUUCUAUUAGAAGGUUGUCUGGACAUACAUCUCUACCUCUGCUGUCUUUUCCGGGGUGUUUGGGGAGAAGGGGAGAGGAGAUGGAAGGGAAUAGAAACAUUCCUUCUUGAAGACACAGCAGAAAGACCUUCUCUAUGAGGUCCCCCUUAACUGCCUCAACCCUCAGUGACCCUUCCUUCCCCUGAUAUGUAUAAUAAUCUGCAUUGUACCAUAUCCCAUACUGACUUGCAUUAUUAAAUACUCACUCAUGAUCCAAGAACUCAUCUCCCCAAUUACUGGCAAGGUCCUUGACGACAAGGACCACUUCUAUUCCUCCAGAUUACCUACCCCAGUGAUUGAAUACAGCAGAUAUUCAAAAGAUUUGAUUGCCCCCGGAAUGCCACGAGCAAAUAACCCCAAAUCACAAAUAUGACUUUGUUAUACAGUAUUAUGAAAUUUCAGGAAUAAAUCUAUCUCUGUAUUAAUGUUUCCCGCCUUGUAUUUCGCAAUUCCUGAGUACCUGGGGAUGGGAGAGGGGAGGGAGUUGGGGGUGGGGGAUGAACGUUAAAAUGUAUUAGGCCCGUGAAAAAAAAUGCCUACAUGAAAUUAAAAUAAACUGGACUGCUGAGUUUGCCUAAAUGGUAGAAGGUGUUUACAGAUGUCGUUUAAUCACUGGAGCUGGAAGUCCGAGUU